rnacentral:rRNA from 1 species
UGAUCCUGGCUCAGGAUGAACGCUAGCGGCAGGCCUAACACAUGCAAGUCGAACGGUAACAUAGAUUGCUUGCAAUCUGAUGACGAGUGGCGCACGGGUGCGUAACGCGUAUGCAAUCUACCUUUUACAGGAGAAUAGCCCAGAGAAAUUUGGAAUAAUGCUCCAUAAUAUCAUUUAUCAGCAUUGGUUUAUGAUUAAAGCUCCGGCGGUAAAAGAUGAGCAUGCGUUCUAUUAGCUAGUAGGUGAGGUAACGGCUCACCUAGGCUACGAUAGAUAGGGGCCCUGAGAGGGGGAUCCCCCACACUGGUACUGAGACACGGACCAGACUCCUACGGGAGGCAGCAGUGAGGAAUAUUGGACAAUGGAGGAAACUCUGAUCCAGCCAUGCCGCGUGCAGGAUGACUGCCCUAUGGGUUGUAAACUGCUUUUAUAUAGGAAGAAACACUCCCACGUGUGGGGGCUUGACGGUACUAUAUGAAUAAGGAUCGGCUAACUCCGUGCCAGCAGCCGCGGUAAUACGGAGGAUCCAAGCGCUAUCCGGAAUCAUUGGGUUUAAAGGGUCCGCAGGCGGCCUGUUAAGUCAGAGGUGAAAUCCUACAGCUCAACUGUAGAACUGCCUUUGAUACUGAUAGGCUUGAGUUAUUGUGAAGUGGUUAGAAUGUGUGGUGUAGCGGUGAAAUGCUUAGAUAUCACACAGAAUACCGAUUGCGAAGGCAGAUCACUAACAAUAUACUGACGCUCAUGGACGAAAGCGUGGGGAGCGAACGGGAUUAGAUACCCCGGUAGU